rnacentral:rRNA from 1 species
CAGUCGCCGCGGUAAUACGUAGGGGGCAAGCGUUGUCCGGAAUUAUUGGGCGUAAAGCGCGCGCAGGCGGUCAUGUAAGUCUGGUGUUUAAUCCCGGGGCUCAACCCCGGAUCGCACUGGAAACUGGGUGACUUGAGUGCAGAAGAGGAGAGUGGAAUUCCACGUGUAGCGGUGAAAUGCGUAGAGAUGUGGAGGAACACCAGUGGCGAAGGCGACUCUCUGGGCUGUAACUGACGCUGAGGCGCGAAAGCGUGGGGAGCAAACAGGAUUAGAUACCCCCGUAGUCCCUGUCUCUUAUACA